rnacentral:rRNA from 1 species
CGGACGGGUGAGUAACGCGUGGAAAACCUGCCGUAUACUGGGGGAUAACACUUAGAAAUAGGUGCUAAUACCGCAUAAGCGCACAGCUUCGCAUGAAGUGGUGUGAAAAACUCUGGUGGUAUACGAUGGUUCCGCGUCUGAUUAGCUUGUUGGUGGGGUAAUGGCUCACCAAGGCGACGAUCAGUAGCCGGCCUGAGAGGGUGAACGGCCACAUUGGGACUGAGACACGGCCAACUCCUACGGGAGGCAGCAG